GAGCUGGGUUUAGAACGUCGUGAGACAGUUCGGUCCCUAUCCGCUGCGCGCGUUGGAGUCUUGAGAAGGGCUGUCCCUAGUACGAGAGGACCGGGACGGACGGACCUCUGGUGUGCCAGUUGUUCUGCCAAGGGCAUGGCUGGUUGGCUACGUUCGGGAGGGAUAACCGCUGAAAGCAUCUAAGCGGGAAGCCUGCUUCGAGAUGAGGGCUCCCACCUACUUGAUGGGGUAAGGCUCCCAGUAGACGACUGGGUUGAUAGGCCGGAUGUGGAAGCCUUGUGAGGGGUGGAGCUGACCGGUACUAAUAGGCCGAGGGCUUGUCUAC
rnacentral:rRNA from 1 species